rnacentral:rRNA from 1 species
UACGGGGGGGGCAAGCGUUGUUCGGAAUUAUUGGGCGUAAAGAGCGCGCAGGCGGUCGUUCAAGUCGCGUGUGAAAGCCCCCGGCUCAACUGGGGAGGGUCACGCGAUACUGAUCGACUCGAAGGCAGGAGAGGGUAGUGGAAUUCCCGGUGUAGUGGUGAAAUGCGUAGAUAUCGGGAGGAACACCAGUGGCGAAGGCGACUACCUGGCCUGUUUCUUGACGCUGAGGCGCGAAAGCUAGGGGAGCAAACGGG